rnacentral:rRNA from 1 species
ACGGAACCUUCGGGUUCAGUGGCGGAAGGGUUAGUAAUACAUGGGUAACCUGCCUUUGACUCUGGGAUAACGGUUGGAAACGACCGCUAAUACCGGAUACGGUGAGAAAAAGACAUCUUUUUCUUAUUAAAGUGGGGGAUCGUAAGACCUCGCGGUUAAAGAGGGGCCCAUGCGAUAUCAGCUAGUUGGUGUGGUAAAGGCGCACCAAGG